UACGAAGGGGGCUAGCGUUGCUCGGAAUGACUGGGCGUAAAGGGCGCGUAGGCGGCUUGUAGAGUCGGGUGUGAAAUUCCUGGGCUUAACCUGGGGGGCUGCAUUCGAUACGUAUGGGCUUGAGUGCGGAAGAGGGUCGUGGAAUUCCCAGUGUAGAGGUGAAAUUCGUAGAUAUUGGGAAGAACACCCGUGGCGAAGGCGGCUCUCUGGGACGGUACUGACGCUGAGACGCGAAAGCGUGGGGGAGCGAACAGG
rnacentral:rRNA from 1 species